AUAGAUGCGAAAAGAAUGUAUUAUAAGUUGUAGAACAAAUGCAAUAAAACAAUACAAUGUAUAAAUGCAUUUGCUCAUUAAGCACUGCAGUCAAUCUGGUAAACCACUAUUAAACAUUAAGCCACUAGGUGGCUAAAGCAAUGAUCAAAUCAGAGGUGAGGCCCACAUUUCUAAGAACCUGUUAUCACCUCAAGAACUUGCAAUACACUUUUGCUUUCACCACUUUUCCUUUCAUCACUCUCUUCAUGUGUUUUUGAACCCGUCAAGAGCCACAUGUCGUCACUUUGUUAUGUUGCCUAAGCAACAGCAGAAGAGAACAUGUUAGGCAGCGUGUUUCUGUGUUACAGCUACUUUAAAGGCACUAGCUUAGUCAAACGGCCAUAGACAACUCUGUACAAAAGAAAAAUCAUAAAUUACUUAAAAUCUCAGUUAUUCCUCCUAAAUAGUGAAUGGAAGACUUUUGCUGAAGUCUCCUACUUCACAGACAUUUUAUCUUGAGAUAAAGAGUUAUCUCACACAUGAAUGUUUCCGAAGAAAUCUCAAAAAUGUAACAAACUGUGCUUCUUGGCACAAAAUUUGCCAAGAUUCCAAAGUCUGUGAUUUUAUUGAACUCGUAUUUCUCACAAAUUCUUCCAUCACUAAAUUAUCUGAGCUAUGCUAUCCACAUUCAUUCAUAUCUCUAUACAGUUAGUGUAACAUAACAUUUGUCUCAUUUGUGUCUAGAUUACAAAUGUACAUGGAACUUAAUAUAGGCCUAUAUGCAUAAGGAUAUAAGUAUACUUUUGAUCCUGUAGGUGAUCAACAAUUCUUUAUUUAAUUUUAUACUACAGGGCCGUUGAAUGCUUAAAUCUGAUUGGCUGACGAACGUUCUAAGGUGUGCAAUUAUUUUCAGGGAAACGCACGGCGAACGUAGUUCCAGGCAGCUCUUGACCGCAUUACAUGACCAUAUCACUUCGCCAAAUGAUUUCUGUUAUUUCAAAGAUACAACAGCAAAAUAACCAAAACCCACAACGACACUGACCAAAUAAAUAAAUAUAGUAAACAAUAUGAUAAAAACGACAGAUCAUGUCCAUGUUUUUGCCACAAAAUUGCGCUUUAUUAUGUACGGAAAGCACAUACUCUAUCUCUCCUGCUCUCUCUCCCUCACAGACCGCACACACAUAACAGUUACAGUUUCCACACACACUAACAUACAUCGCGCUAAUGUUGUUAGCGCUACUCUGACGAUUUUAUCAGUAAACAACUUAAAAACUACAUGAUUUCUCACAAGCGAGGUAACAAUAACGGCGCUGUUCGUGAACAAAAGGAACUAAGUUUCACUAUAACUAGAGACAUUGCUGCCGAACACUAUUGAGAGACGCACAGAGCUUGAGAUCAGACGGCGUGUCAAGCUGAAGCUUCUCGUGCACGAGCAUCUGCUGGAUGCAUGGCUCCACAUCAGUGAAACCAACAAGAUAAAUGUACCGCUGCCAAUUUAAGGUUUCAUUCUUCGUUCUGGUCAGCAAGCAUGUGUUUUGCCUGGAGAAUGUACGUUGCACUGGUCCCAGUGAGAGAAUGAGAGGAAAUGGAAACAGUGAGAGAGAGGGAGACGUAGAGAGUGAACUGAGCUAUUUUUAGGAGUUGCUCACAGGAAGUGAAAGCCUCAGGCCCAUGCUUAACUGGUGCUUGACUGGUACCCACUGAGAGAGAGCAAGAGAGAAAGAGAACGAGA